AUUCUGCCCAUGUGGGGAAGGAUGAAGCUUCGACUAGGUUCGAUUCGAGCGCAGCGUGCCGCAGGCAACGACGAAGGGGCAGCGCGCAGCGCUGGGUAUCCUUCCCCCACCACCA
rnacentral:sRNA from 1 species